rnacentral:rRNA from 1 species
GUAGGGAAUAUUGGGCAAUGGAGGCAACUCUGACCCAGCCAUGCCGCGUGCAGGAUGACGGCCCUCUGGGUUGUAAACUGCUUUUAUACGGGAAGAGAAAAUACUACGUGUAGUAUACUGACGGUACCGUAAGAAUAAGGAUCGGCUAACUCCGUGCCAGCAGCCGCGGUAAUACGGAGGAUCCAAGCGUUGUCCGGAUUUAUUGGGUUUAAAGGGUGCGUAGGCGGAUCUUUAAGUCAGUGGUGAAAGCCUGCAGCUUAACUGUAGAAUUGCCAUUGAAACUGAAGAUCUUGAAUGUGGUUAAAGUAGGCGGAAUGUAUCAUGUAGCGGUGAAAUGCUUAGAUAUGAUACAGAACACCGAUAGCGAAGGCAGCUUGCUGAACCAUUAUUGACGCUGAGGCACGAAAGCGUGGGGAGCGAACAGGAUUAGAAACCCGGGUAGUCC